rnacentral:rRNA from 1 species
UUGCGGUGUGGGAUGGGCCCGCGGCCUAUCAGCUUGUUGGUGGGGUGAUGGCCUACCAAGGCGACGACGGGUAGCCGGCCUGAGAGGGUGUCCGGCCACACUGGGACUGAGAUACGGCCCAGACUCCUACGGGAGGCAGCAGUGGGGAAUAUUGCACAAUGGGCGAAAGCCUGAUGCAGCGACGCCGCGUGGGGGAUGACGGCCUUCGGGUUGUAAACCUCUUUCACCAUCGACGAAGGUCCGGGUUUUCUCGGAUUGACGGUAGGUGGAGAAGAAGCACCGGCCAACUACGUGCCAGCAGCCGCGGUAAUACGUAGGGUGCGAGCGUUGUCCGGAAUUACUGGGCGUAAAGAGCUCGUAGGUGGUUUGUCGCGUUGUUCGUGAAAUCUCACGGCUUAACUGUGAGCGUGCGGGCGAUACGGGCAGACUUGAGUACUGCAGGGGAGACUGGAAUUCCUGGUGUAGCGGUGGAAUGCGCAGAUAUCAGGAGGAACACCGGUGGCGAAGGCGGGUCUCUGGGCAGUAACUGACGCUGAGGAGCGAAAGCGUGGGGAGCGAACAGGAUUAGAUACCCUGGUAGUCCACGCCGUAAACGGUGGGUACUAGGUGUGGGUUUCCUUCCUUGGGAUCCGUGCCGUAGCUAACGCAUUAAGUACCCCGCCUGGGGAGUACGGCCGCAAGGCUAAAACUCAAAGAAAUUGACGGGGGCCCGCACAAGCG